UGUUCUUGCUUUGUUUUACUUAAUUUCGUCCAAAAUCAAACCCACCUUAUUUCUUUGAGUCAUAUUACUUAGAACUUGUCGUAGAAUAUGUUUUUAGGUGUUUUAGGUCAUUAGGAAACCAAAAUUCGUCCAAGUUGUGUUAGAGUCCCAAAACUGCCCAGAAAGUGGUUUUUAGGCAGUUUUGAGUGUUUGGUUGCUGUUUUGAUUCUUUUGGUUCGUUUUAGUGUUUUAGAGUUUAGUUUUGCAUUCGUUGAGUCUAGUUUCGUAUUUUAAACUUUGUUUUACAGAUUUGAGUCAGUUUAGAGUGUUUUAGCAAUCCCUCAUAAUCCCCGGUUUAAGAACGAUCCUUACUUAUCCAUACUACAAUUGUCAACAAGAGGGUUAAUUUGUGUGUUUAUUUAUUUUACGCAUCAAAAGACACCUUCAUGUAUUUCUUGAAGGACAGUUUCCGCCUCUGCGGGCGUAAGGCAUCUUAGGUAUGGUAGGUUAAAACCCCGCUUGUAGAGUUGGUCAUUAAUGAUCAAGUAACGGGUAGCCUUGUAUCGAAUUUGCUUAGCUUGGACUUUGUCAUUUGGAAUGGUGUCAUGAGCAAGGAAUCUAUAAAUCGGGGUAAUCCAACUAUCCCCCUGUUGUAAGUUGCACACUUCCGCAGCCAUGGUGCUUGGUGCUGCCAACAAUUCGACCUGAAUUUUUCUCCCAAUCUUGUCUUCUACCGUUGAGGCGAGGCAAGCCAAAGUAUUUGCAUGACUGUUUGCCGCUCGAGGAAUUUGGGUGAUCUGGUAGUGGAAGUGAGCAACAAUUGUGUUUGUGCCAUAUAUGCUGCCAUAGAGCUAUCCUUAGCGUCAAAGUUGUUGGUGACCUGGUUAACCACUAAUUGGGAGUCACUGAAGAUAUCAAUUCGUUUAACCCCAAGAUGUUUGGCCAAACGUAAGCCUGUUAGGAGGGCUUCAUAUUCGGCCUCAUUAUUCGACGCCUUGAAUUUGAAACGAAUAGCAUAUUCCAUCGCCACUUUGUCAGGGG
rnacentral:lncRNA from 1 species